UACGGGGGGAGCAAGCGUUGUUCGGAUUUACUGGGCGUAAAGGGCGCGUAGGCGGCCACCGCAAGUCAAUUGUGAAAUCUCCGGGCUUAACUCGGAAAGGUCAACUGAUACUGCGGGGCUAGAGUGCGGAAGGGGCAACUGGAAUUCUCGGUGUAGCGGUGAAAUGCGUAGAUAUCGAGAGGAACACCUGCGGCGAAGGCGGGUUGCUGGGCCGAAACUGACGCUGAUGCGCGAAAGCCAGGGGAGCAAACGGG
rnacentral:rRNA from 1 species